rnacentral:lncRNA from 1 species
AGGAGAUGGUGAAGCAAGCCAUAGGGUAGACUAGACGGGAACCGCCAAGCAGCUGGCCACAACUCCAGACGCGCCCGCCCUUCUUUGGAAAUAACCCCCCAGCAGUGGCAGCAGUUCCAGACUCCCUACUUGAGAAGAGUCAGGAGCUGGGGAGGGAGGUGCCAGGGUAAGGGUGGACAGAAUUCUGUGGGCGCUUAGUUUCCAUGCCAGUAAAGAUGCUGAGGGAGUGUUGGUUGGGAGCCCAGUGACCAGAGGCUCUUCUGAGACUGUCCUCUUUUGAAUAGGUACGAACUCAAGCAUGCUUCUCACAUCAGCAAGUUACCCAAGGGCAAGCACAGUGUCAAAGGUACUGUCCCCAGCCUGACAUGGCAGGUUCGGGUGGGGGCGCCUUUCCUCCAGCAGCUGCACUCUCGCUACAGGAGGUUCAUUUAGAAACAACUGCCUCAGUCCUUGUGUCAUAAUGCCAUGCGAGUUCUGUGGGGUACCAUGAACUAAGCAGGGCACAGGUCACUUCAGAUUUUGAGCAGUGAUAUCAGGGCCCAGAGGACCUCUGGUGCACCUGGAAUUAUGGGUAGCAUAUGAUGGUCAAUGCCUAGGGUAUAACCUCAGCUGGACCAAUGUAACUUUACUGGUUUAGAAUGUUGCCUUGGAACCUUUCUUUACAGUGUCUGUGUUUGCAUCUAAAGGAUGUUUAAAGUGAACACACACAUCCUGUAUCAAAUAGAUGUUGUAUACCCAGGACAUUUCCACACCUCCUGUUCCACACCCCCUGUUAUACCUAACACUUGAGCCUUCCACCUUACAGGUUUGGGCAAAACCGCCCCUGACCCUUCGGCCAGCAUCACCCUGGAUGGUGUAGAGGUUCCGCUGGGAACAGGGAUUCCGUCUGGUGUUAAUGACACCUGCCUGCUGUAUAACGAGUACAUUGUCUACGACAUUGCUCAGGUGAAUCUGAAGUACCUACUGAAACUGAAGUUCAAUUUCAAGACCUCCUUGUGGUAGAGUGAAGGCGGGCUUUGCCAGCACCCGGGGCCUAGGGGAUAAUGCCCCUAGUGCCUCUGCACCAAACACCACAACACCUCAGCCAUGCUGCCGCCUCAGGGUGGCACCCUCACCGAAUCUCCUUAGGAAGGACUUUACACAGAUAGGUUGCGCUGGAGUGGGACGGCUGUUUGUGGUUUGUCCAACCAGGCACAGCCGUGACAGACAGCUGGCAGUAGAGGGAAAGUUGGGGAGAGGUUUUUGUUGUUUGCCUAGACUAGUCCUGAGGGAAGAAACCGCCACGUCACAGUCACAAUGUCUGCCUUACUGGCUUCCCCAGGGAAGGAAAAUGUGCUUCCUCCCUUCUUUCAAGGGUUCAUCUUUGGUUUGAUUUUGGCAAAAUGUUAAGCAUUUAUUUUGAGCUAAAAAAUAAAAACUAAUUUCAUACUAUAUAGAUUUUCUUUUUUUAUCUUGUAUGUCCCCUUCUUAGCCUUCUUGGCUUUUGUUUUGCUGGGUUUUCAGUGAUAGACGUGGGGUAACCAAAAGAAGGGGCUCCCUGAAGCACUUAGCUGGGGAACUGAGCCUGUAGUGUGGUCGGUUCGAAGUCGCGCUUGGGAUUCUUGAUUCAUCCCUGAGCAAUUUGUCUUCCACAUUGAACCGUCUGUAAUCAGUAUAGCCACCCAAAGGGCUAUGGUUCUCAAUUAAAAUGCAAAUGGCUAUCUA